AGGAAUAUUGGUCAAUGGUCGGCAGACUGAACCAGCCAAGUCGCGUGAGGGAAGACGGCCCUACGGGUUGUAAACCUCUUUUGUCGGAGAGUAAAGUGCGCUACGUGUAGCGUAUUGCAAGUAUCCGAAGAAAAAGCAUCGGCUAACUCCGUGCCAGCAGCCGCGGUAAUACGGAGGAUGCAAGCGUUAUCCGGAUUUAUUGGGUUUAAAGGGUGCGUAGGCGGCACGCCAAGUCAGCGGUGAAAUUUCCGGGCUCAACCCGGAGUGUGCCGUUGAAACUGGUGAGCUAGAGUGCACAAGAGGCAGGCGGAAUGCGUGGUGUAGCGGUGAAAUGCAUAGAUAUCACGCAGAACCCCGAUUGCGAAGGCAGCCUGCUAGGGUGCGACAGACGCUGAGGCACGAAAGCGUGGGUAUCGAACAGGAUUAGAUACCCUGGUAGUCCACGCAGUAAACGAUGAAUACUAACUGUUUGCGAUACAAUGUAAGCGGUACAGCGAAAGCGUUAAGUAUUCCACCUGGGGAGUACGCCGGCAACGGUGAAACUCAAAGGAAUUGACAGGGGCCCGCACAAGCGGAGGAACAUGUGGUUUAAUUCGAUGAUACGCGAGGAACCUUACCCGGGCUCAAACGCAGGGGGAAUGCCGGUGAAAGUCGGCAGCUAGCAAUAGUCACCUGCGAGGUGCUGCAUGGUUGUCGUCAGCUCGUGCCGUGAGGUGUCGGCUUAAGUGCCAUAACGAGCGCAACCCCUAUUGACAGUUACUAACGGGUCAAGCCGAGGACUCUGUCGAGACUGCCGGCGCAAGCCGCGAGGAAGGUGGGGAUGACGUCAAAUCAGCACGGCCCUUACGUCCGGGGCGACACACGUGUUACAAUGGCAGGUACAGAAGGCAGCCAGUCAGCAAUGACGCGCGAAUCCCGAAAACCUGUCUCAGUUCGGAUUGGAGUCUGCAACCCGACUCCAUGAAGCUGGAUUCGCUAGUAAUCGCGCAUCAGCCAUGGCGCGGUGAAUACGUUCCCG
rnacentral:rRNA from 1 species